rnacentral:pre_miRNA from 1 species
UCUUAUGGGUGAGCAAAGUAAGUGGCUUCUGGAGAUAGAAUCUACUCCUGGUGAAGAUGCUGUGAA